rnacentral:lncRNA from 1 species
GGAUUGUUUGCCUAUGCCAAAAAUCACACACUAUAAUCUUAGUUCAAACUCCAUCCUUAAAAUACAUCAUAAUGCUAACAUGCUGAGCCACAAUCAUCCAUCAUAUGACUAAUCUAAGAGUAGCCAUCUCUCUGUUAAAAUAGACCUAUCGAAUAAAAUGAUAAAAUACUGUCACUUAGGAAAAGGAUAACAAAUUAAGAAAUACUAUUAACAAAAGAACGCUGUGUAGAGUUAGCAUUCCAUAAAUGUUCCUUGAUUUGAAUUGAACAAAAAAGACCUACAAAAAAGAAAUUCUGCCUUUCCCACUUACAAUAUAUUCUAUUUGUACUUUUCUGUAAAUAACAGUACAGAGUA